rnacentral:lncRNA from 1 species
CUGAAACACAUUCGUCGACCCCACUCUUGCAGUUAGGCUGGUUGUGCAAUCCACCUGGUGAGCACCAGACCCCUGUUAACCAGACACUUUGCUAAGCAGCACACGUCCCUGCAGAGCUGGCUGUCCUAGAGGUCAUCUGUCCAUUGUAUGGGCCACAAUGAAUCCCAGGGUGCUCUGGGAAUACCAACCUCUUGCAUCAAAGAAAAGCUGUCCAGGACCAUUUACCGUUUCAAUGCUUGAACCUUUAAAUGGACAGUGGCUGAUGCUGAAUCAUAGAAUCAUGGAAUGGUUUGGGUUGGAAGGGACCUUAAAGAUCAUCUUGUUCCAAUACCCUGUCUGUGGGCAAGGACAUCUUCCACUAGACCAGGUAACUCAGAGCCCCAUCCAACCCAGCCUUAAACACUUCUGGGGAUGGGGCAUCCGCAACUUCUCUGGGUAA